rnacentral:rRNA from 1 species
UGAUCCUGGCUCAGGAUGAACGCUAGCGGCAGGCCUAAUACAUGCAAGUCGAGCGGUAGAGAUGCUUUCGGGUGUCUUGAGAGCGGCGCACGGGUGCGUAACACGUAUGCAACCUACCUUAUACAGGGGGAUAGCCCGGAGAAAUCCGGAUUAAUACCCCAUGGCAUCAUUUAACUGCAUGGUUUGAUGAUUAAAGAUUUAUCGGUAUAAGAUGGGCAUGCGUCUGAUUAGCUAGUUGGUGGGGUAAUGGCCCACCAAGGCGACGAUCAGUAGGGGUUCUGAGAGGAAGGUCCCCCACACUGGCACUGAGAUACGGGCCAGACUCCUACGGGAGGCAGCAG